rnacentral:lncRNA from 1 species
CAAGGGACUGUGGGCUUAGGCGCGUGACCUGGCCGCCCCCGUCUUUGUGAUUUUUUCCUCUGUUUGCCGAAAAGGAGAUUCCCGGUCGGAAUAUUAUCGCUUUUUUACGAGAAAAAUUGCAUAAAAAUUGAUUUUAAACAGCGGUUGACAUGCUUCGAAGUACGGUAAUGGAAUAUUUAGAAUUUAUUUGUCACGAAACGCGUUGGGCGCGUCACCCUUCUUUACACUUCGGAUAGUGUCUUGAACGCACGAACAAAACAGGAUAUUUGAACAUAACUAUGGAUUAUUUUGAACCAAACCAACAUUUGUUAUUGAAGUAGAAGUCCUGGGAGUGCAUUCUGACGAAGAACAGCAAAGACUCCCAAGGCUGCACAGCCUACGACGUGGUCAUCAGUGAAGAGUUCUUCGAGAAAUGCCAGACUGGAAGGUUCUGAAGAACAGGACGUUUCUGUUCUCUGUGAACGAACAGAAUAUUCACACCAAGA